rnacentral:lncRNA from 1 species
GGAGAUGCAGCCGAGAGCAGAAUCGCCGCAGCCAGCAAUCACGAUCUGCGCCAAACUCACAGCCGCCAGGUUGACGCUGCUGCCCAGCAGCUGCAGCAGUGCGCCCGCAACCUGCGGCUGUCCGCGCUCGCCCACGCCUGCAAGCAGCACUCGGAAGGGGCCGCGCACGUCCGGGUCCGCAGCAGCACUCUUCGGCAGCACUGGGGGUGUCGGCGCAGCCGGCUGCAGCUGUCCGUCCUCUACCACCCCAUGCUGCACAGCUCCUGGAAAGGCAACAAAUAGCGUAUCUCACACCAAGUUCCAGCCUGAGCUCUGUGUGUGUGAAGCGAGAAUGAGCGCGAGUGAUCAAAACUCUGCAGAAGGUGUCAUUUAUUGAUGACAACAGAAGCAGACUUUUGUGAUGUCCAGGACUUUUUAAUUCUUAAAGCAGAGCAACCACCUGAGGCGAUGACGUGCUCUGCCGCCUUCAGGGCUCCGGCCUGCACCAGCCUGGUGCGCAGCUCUUCCCAUACGUCCCCCUGUCCUGCA